rnacentral:rRNA from 1 species
AUUGAACGCUGGCGGAAUGCUUUACACAUGCAAGUCGAACGGCAGCACGGGGGCAACCCUGGUGGCGAGUGGCGAACGGGUGAGUAAUACAUCGGAACGUGCCCAGUUGUGGGGGAUAACGUAGCGAAAGCUACGCUAAUACCGCAUACGAACUGAGGUUGAAAGCGGGGGAUCGCAAGACCUCGCGCAAUUGGAGCGGCCGAUGGCAGAUUAGGUAGUUGGUGGGGUAAAGGCUCACCAAGCCGACGAUCUGUAGCUGGUCUGAGAGGACGACCAGCCACACUGGGACUGAGACACGGCCCAGACUCCUACGGGAGGCAGCAGUGGGGAAUUUUGGACAAUGGGCGCAAGCCUGAUCCAGCCAUUCCGCGUGCAGGAUGAAGGCCCUCGGGUUGUAAACUGCUUUUGUACGGAACGAAAAGGCUUUCUCUAAUACAGAGGGCUCAUGACGGUACCGUAAGAAUAAGCACCGGCUAACUACGUGCCAGCCGCCGCGGUAA